AGCGAACGCUGGCGGCAGGCCUAACACAUGCAAGUCGAACGAAGUCUUCGGACUUAGUGGCGGACGGGUGAGUAACACGUGGGAACGUGCCUUUAGGUUCGGAAUAACUCAGGGAAACUUGUGCUAAUACCGAAUGUGCCCUUCGGGGGAAAGAUUUAUCGCCUUUAGAGCGGCCCGCGUCUGAUUAGCUAGUUGGCGAGGUAAAGGCUCACCAAGGCGACGAUCAGUAGCUGGUCUGAGAGGAUGAUCAGCCACAUUGGGACUGAGACACGGCCCAAACUCCUACGGGAGGCAGCAGUGGGGAAUCUUGCGCAAUGGGCGAAAGCCUGACGCAGCCAUGCCGCGUGAAUGAUGAAGGUCUUAGGAUUGUAAAAUUCUUUCACCGGGGACGAUAAUGACGGUACCCGGAGAAGAAGCCCCGGCUAACUUCGUGCCAGCCGCCGCAGUAA
rnacentral:rRNA from 1 species